rnacentral:rRNA from 1 species
UAUGUGAUCGUCUCUCGCAUAUCAAUAAGCGGAGGAAAAGAAACUAACAAGGAUUCCCCUAGUAACGGCGAGUGAAGCGGGGAAGAGCUCAAAUUUGAAAUCUUAAAGGGUUUCCCUUUACGAAUUGUAGUUUAAAGAAGUGUUUUCUGUUGAGGUUUUGGUAAAAGUUCUUUGGAAUAGGACAUCAUAGAGGGUGAGAAUCCCGUAUUUGACCUUUACUUUCAACUUUGUGAUACACUUUCAAAGAGUCGGAUUGUUUGGGAAUGCAGUCCAAAAUGGGUGGUAAAUUUCAUCUAAAGCUAAAUAUUGGCGAGAGACCGAUAGCGAACAAGUACCGUGAGGGAAAGAUGAAAAGAACUUUGAAAAGAGAGUUAAACAGUACGUGAAAUUGUCAAAAGGGAAGCGUUUGACACCAGUGUUGUUUUUCUGAAAAUCAAUUAAAGAACUGUUUAUGCUAAGUUGUUUAGACUUUAUCAGCUAACUGUUUAGUUUUGAGCUUUUCUUUAAUGCACUUUUCAGUUAACAAGUCAACAUCAAUUUCUUUUGCUGUAAAAAAGCUUGAGGAAGGUGGCUUGAGAUUCGUCUUAAGUGUUUAUAGCCUCUUGCCUAUGCAGUCGGAGAGAUUGAGGUCUGCAGCGUAGAUCCUUCGGGGCUAAAUGCAUUUGUGCUAAGUUAUAGCAUUUUAUAGACAACUUGUUGACUAUGAUUUGUCUUGUAGCUUACUCGCUUAUGUUAUUUUACCUACGCUUAGGAUGUUGAUAUGCAUGACUGAUAU